rnacentral:rRNA from 1 species
GUGCCAGCAGCCGCGGUAAUACGUAGGGUACGAGCGUUGUCCGGAAUUACUGGGCGUAAAGAGCUCGUAGGUGGUUUGUCGCGUUGUUCGUGAAAACUCACAGCUUAACUGUGGGCGUGCGGGCGAUACGGGCAGACUGGAGUACUGCAGGGGAGACUGGAAUUACUGGUGUAGCGGUGGAAUGCGCAGAUAUCAGGAGGAACACCGGUGGCGAUGGCGGGUCUCUGGGCAGUAACUGACGCUGAGGAGCGAAAGCGUGGGGAGCGAACAGGAUUAGAUACCCUGGUAGUCCACGCCGUAAACGGUGGGUACUAGGUGUGGGUUUCCUUCCUUGGGAUCCGUGCCGUAGCUAACGCAUUAAGUACCCCGCCUGGGGAGUACGGCCGCAAGGCUAAAACUCAAAGGAAUUGACGGGGGCCCGCACAAGCGGCGGAGCAUGUGGAUUAAUUCGAUGCAACGCGAAGAACCUUACCUGGGUUUGACAUGCACAGGACGCUGGUGGAUAUCAGUUGACCNUGUGGCCUGU